GGGGGGGGGGGGGGGGGGGGGGGGGGGGGGGGGGGGGGGGGGGGGGGGGGGGGGGGGGGGGGGCCCACUGCUCCCACUGCUCCCACUGCUCCCACUGCUCCCACUGCUCCCACUGAUCCCACUGAUCCCACCCCAUUGAUCCCACUGCUCCCACUGCUCCCAUCCCACCGCUCGCACUGCUCCCCUCCCGUCCCGCAGCAGGAGCAGCCGUGUCCCCGAGCCCGUGCAGCCGCCCGUGGUUCCCCCGGGGAAGCUCUCACUGGGGUCCCUCAGGUACCGGGGGGCUCCUGGGGCUUUGGGGGGCAGUGAGGGGUUCGGGGGAUUUGCUGCCCUCGUGUCCAGAGCAAAAAAAUCCUCCAGGGAGAGGGGGAAGGGUGGGAAAUGAUGGGGGAAAGGGACAGGAGGUGGGAGGGAACAGGACAGAGGAGUGGGAAUGGGACAGGGGGAUGGGAAUGGGACAGGGGAAUGGGACAGGAAUGGGACAGGAAUGGGACAGGAAUGGGACAGGGGAAUGGGACAGGAAUGGGACAGGGGAGUGGGAAUGGGACAGGGGAGUGGGACAGGGGAGUGGAACAGGAGAAUAGCAGGGGAGUGGAACAGGAGAAUAGGACAGGAAUGGGACAGGGGAAUGGGACAGGAAUGGGACAGGGGAGUGGGAGAGGGGAGUGGGACAGGGGUGGGGAAGGGUUGUCGCAGCCGGGAGUCUCGCGCCACACGGUGCCACCUUGUCCUGGCACGGGACAAUGUCCGUGUGUGCUCAGCGUGGGGACAGAGCCCUGACCCUGCUGCUCCUCCCUCCAGCUCCGGCAGCGCCCCGGCAGCUCCUGGGGACGGGAUUCCUGUCCCUCCACCCCCUCCGGGGCCACCCCCGCGGGGGGGGGGGGGGGGGGGGGGGGGGGGGGGGGGGGGGGGGGGGGGGGGGGGGG
rnacentral:lncRNA from 12 species